AGUGAACGCUGGCGGUAGGCCUAACACAUGCAAGUCGAACGGCAGCACAGUAAGAUCUUGCUCUUACGGGUGGCGAGUGGCGGACGGGUGAGGAAUACAUCGGAAUCUACUUUUUCGUGGGGGAUAACGUAGGGAAACUUACGCUAAUACCGCAUACGACCUACGGGUUAAAGCAGGGGAUCUUCGGACCUUGCGCGAUUGAAUGAGCCGAUGUCGGAUUAGCUAGUUGGCGGGGUAAAGGCCCACCAAGGCGACGAUCCGUAGCUGGUCUGAGAGGAUGAUCAGCCACACUGGAACUGAGACACGGUCCAGACUCCUACGGGAGGCAGCAGUGGGGAAUAUUGGACAAUGGGCGAAAGCCUGAUCCAGCAAUACCGCGUGGGUGAAGAAGGCCUUCGGGUUGUAAAGCCCUUUUGUUGGGAAAGAAAAGCAGCAGGUUAAUACCCCGCUGUUCUGACGGUACCCAAAGAAUAAGCACCGGCUAACUUCGUG
rnacentral:rRNA from 1 species